rnacentral:rRNA from 1 species
CUAAUACAUGCAAGUCGAGCGGACAGAUGGGAGCUUGCUCCCUGAUGUUAGCGGCGGACGGGUGAGUAACACGUGGGUAACCUGCCUGUAAGACUGGGAUAACUCCGGGAAACCGGGGCUAAUACCGGAUGGUUGUUUGAACCGCAUGGUUCAGACAUAAAAGGUGGCUUCGGCUACCACUUACAGAUGGACCCGCGGCGCAUUAGCUAGUUGGUGAGGUAACGGCUCACCAAGGCGACGAUGCGUAGCCGACCUGAGAGGGUGAUCGGCCACACUGGGACUGAGACACGGCCCAGACUCCUACGGGAGGCAGCAGUAGGGAAUCUUCCGCAAUGGACGAAAGUCUGACGGAGCAACGCCGCGUGAGUGAUGAAGGUUUUCGGAUCGUAAAGCUCUGUUGUUAGGGAAGAACAAGUGCCGUUCAAAUAGGGCGGCACCUUGACGGUACCUAACCAGAAAGCCACGGCUAACUACGUGCCAGCAGCCGCGGUAAUACGUAGGUGGCAAGCGUUGUCCGGAAUUAUUGGGCGUAAAGGGCUCGCAGGCGGUUUCUUAAGUCUGAUGUGAAAGCCCCCGGCUCAACCGGGGAGGGUCAUUGGAAACUGGGGAACUUGAGUGCAGAAGAGGAGAGUGGAAUUCCACGUGUAGCGGUGAAAUGCGUAGAGAUGUGGAGGAACACCAGUGGCGAAGGCGACUCUCUGGUCUGUAACUGACGCUGAGGAGCGAAAGCGUGGGGAGCGAACAGGAUUAGAUACCCUGGUAGUCCACGCCGUAAACGAUGAGUGCUAAGUGUUAGGGGGUUUCCGCCCCUUAGUGCUGCAGCUAACGCAUUAAGCACUCCGCCUGGGGAGUACGGUCG